AUUCUCAAAACCGUUUCUUCUAAAUCGAAGCGCUGUGACUAAAACUAAGAUCGAGAGAGGUGAAGCCAUGGAAAUUUCCCGAGCUCGUUCAAGCUUCGUUUGUCUUCUUCUUUUGAUACUCUCCUUUUGUUUACUGUCCUGUGUUUUGGCUAAAUCUCCUCGUCCUAUCUCCGAUGUAGAGAUCAGGCAGAAGAAGAACGAAUGCUAUGCUGAUAUAGAGAGUGGGUUAUGGGGUUGGCAAUGCAUAUCUUCUGCAAUAGCAAAAGAGAACUGUGCGCUGCGAUGCCUUUCUCCGGUUUGCUAUGAACUCAUUUAUGAGAGUGAUCCGCUUGAAGAAGGCGAAAAAGAUUUGAUUAGAAGCCAAGAAUACAAGUAUUGUAUGUACAAGUAAGGUCAAAGCGACUAUAUUCUUUUUGGUUUUACUACCACUUUUUGGAACUUGACAAUCAUUGUGGUUCUCACUCCCCAUUAGGUUAUCUCUCGGGGAAAGCCUAGACGGUGUCCGAGGCAGUUUUUGAUAGUAUCAAAGAAGAAAGACUCAGUGAAGACUUUUUUUCUUUUGCCUUUGCCAAAAGCUGAGCGUAGCUCUUGAGCUUGAGAGAUCCAUGGUAUUCUGUUCUAUCAGGUCUGAAGCCAUGUAAGGCUUUGAUUGUUACAAACUUACAAUCAUCAAUUUUUGCGUAUAUGGUUGUUUAUAUGAGACGUUUACAUUUCUGAUUGGUAAAUCCAUCGAAUUUCACAAA